CAGGCGCUGCGCGGCGCUGGCCUCCCGGGUGCCGCUCACCGCAGUCCGCGUCUUGGCGCCAGCCGGCGCGAGGCUGCGGCGGAACCGGGCUAGGGUCCCGGGCGAUGGGCAGGGAGGGCGAAAGACCAGGGGGCGGCGCCGCGCCGGAGCGGUGGUUGGCGACCGUGGGCGGAGAGCGCCCCGCGGAGCCGGCCUUCCCCGCUCCACUCGGGGUGGGGCUCGGUGCUCGUCCUCGUUCGAGGUCCGUUAGGACCCCGCUGUCCGGCACGGAGAGCUCCGUGGUUCAGGUAUUGGGAAAGCAGGCACGGAAGGCUGUCUGCUGCCGCGUCUAGCAGACCCCCGUCUGGGUGACACCCUGCGGAGCUGCCAUGGCCGGUUUCUAGCAGUGAGAAAGGGCAGUGGUGCUGCUGCCUCACUGGGGUUGUUGCCCUGUCACCUUGCAGCAGGAUGUUAAGUAGAACCCACGAGCGGUGGCUUUGGCCCUUGUCUGCCUGCUAGUGAAGCUCUUGGACCGGAAGCCGGCGUAGUGGUCCCUGCCAAGGAGCGGCAGCAAAGUGAUGGCCACGUUGUGGCCCGCACUGGCCAGCCGACACAUGGGGCUCCCAGCAGGCAUGGUGUGCACAGAGGGCAACCCGUCAUCCAGGCGCCCUGCCUGGGUACUCACCGGGAUGCCCACAGCAGAAGCAUCUGAUGACCUUAACCUCCCAAUUUCUAACCCGUCUCCCCCCAAAUUGAGGUAAAGCAGACUUGAAUAAAAGUUGAUACUCAAGAAUUGA